rnacentral:tRNA from 1 species
GCUGGGCGUGGUCCAUUGGCUGGGCACGGAGCUCCAAACUCCGCCAAGUCGGUUCGAUUCCGACCGCCCGCU